UACGUAGGGGCCUAGCGUUGUCCGGAUUUAUUGGGCGUAAAGAGCGCGUAGGCGGUCCGGUAAGUCCGCUGUGAAAGUCAAGGGCUCAACCCUUGAAUGCCGGUGGAUACUGUCGGGCUAGAGUCCGGAAGAGGCGAGUGGAAUUCCUGGUGUAGCGGUGAAAUGCGCAGAUAUCAGGAGGAACACCGAUGGCGAAGGCAGCUCGCUGGGACGGUACUGACGCUGAGGCGCGAAAGCGUGGGGAGCAAACAGG
rnacentral:rRNA from 1 species